AGGUCGGGGCUGGGCCCUACGCACUUUGCGUAGCGAGGGGGGUUACCAAAGGCCUGGUACUUGGCCUUGGACCAGCCCAGCCUAUCCCCUGUAGGGGGAGUGGGUGAGUAGCGAGGCUAAGGAAGACAGAAGGCGAAUUGGGGCAGUUUAGGGGAUUAUAGUUUCUUUAAAAAACCGGAUUGGGAGAGGCCAUGGCCGUUCCCGCCAAGAAAAGGAAGAUGAAUUUCUCUGAGCGUGAGGUGGAGAUCAUCGUGGAGGAGCUGGAACUGAAGAAGCACCUGCUGGUGAACCACUUCAACGCCGGCGUCCCUUUGGCUGCCAAGAGUGCGGCGUGGCACGGCAUUCUGAGAAGGGUCAAUGCCGUGGCCACCUGCCGCCGGGAGCUGCCCGAGGUCAAGAAGAAGUGGUCCGACCUCAAGACCGAGGUCCGUCGCAAGGUUGCGCAGGUCCGGGCGGCCGUGGAGGGUGGCGAGGCCCCAGGGCCCACUGAGGAAGAUGGAACAGGUGGGCCCGGGACAGGCGGUGGCAGUGGCGCUGGUGGCCCCGCUGUAGCCCCUGUACUGCUCACCCCCAUGCAACAGCGCAUCUGCAACCUGCUGGGCGAGGCCACCAUUAUCAGCUUGCCCAGUACCGCAGAGAUCCACCCCGUGGCCCUUGGACCCACAGCCACUGCAGCCGCCGCCACGGUCACCCUGACACAGAUCCCCACAGAGACCACCUAUCACACGCUGGAGGAGGGAGUGGUAGAGUACUGCACAGCUGAGGCCCCCCCACCCCUGCCGGCCGAGGCGCCCGUGGAGAUGAUGGCCCAGCAUGCUGACACCUCGGUCAAGCCGCAGGCGCUCAAGAGCCGCAUAGCCCUCAACUCAGCCAAGCUGAUCCAGGAGCAGCGGGUCACCAACCUGCACGUGAAGGAGAUCGCCCAGCACCUGGAGCAGCAGAACGACCUCCUACAGAUGAUCCGUCGCUCCCAGGAGGUGCAGGCCUGCGCCCAGGAGCGCCAGGCUCAGGCCAUGGAGGGCACCCAGGCAGCCCUGAGCGUCCUCAUCCAGGUCCUCCGGCCCAUGAUCAAAGAUUUCCGCCGCUACCUUCAGAGCAACAUGCCCAACUCCGCCACCGCCUCAGAGCCUGGACAGGUGGCCCAGAACGGGCAGCCAGACAGCAUCAUCCAAUGAGAGCAGGGGGCAGGCCAGCCUUCUGCUGUGAAUGGAUGACACCGUGGAGGUCUUUUCCAAAACUCGGUGCAGGAAACAGCCUCCAUCGCAUCACGCCCUGGACUGCCUUGUCGCAGUUCUCGGCGCCACGUGUUCUCGCGAGAGCCUCACUGACUGGUUGGGUGAAUCCGAAGGCCUAAUUGGCCCUGAACGUCUGCGGUGGGAGAACUGAAACUGACCCAAGAAGUGGGACCUCUGACAUCUGUGCUCGAAGGAGAGCCAACCAACCUCGGAGUGCUGGAGGAGGUGGUAUUCCCUGUUCUGUUUUGACGCUUUCUCCCCAUUUGUAAGGACUUUACCCAGCUGGCAUCUGUCUUGUUUCAUUUACAGAAUCGCCAUCAGUUACUGAGACCCUUGCAGCUUCCCCCGUUCUCUCCCAAGUUUGCCAUUUUGCUGCCGAGGAGGUCUUGGCCACACGUUGACCGCUGGUUACAACUCAAGGCUCCAGCUCUCAGCUAAACAAAGAAGGUGCUGCCCUUCUGGCGUACGUCUAGAAUCGCCCAGCUCCACUGUGGCAGUUACGGGAAGAUGCCCCGAGGACGGUUGGGAGGUGACUCUUCUAGCGUCAUCCUUAUUAUGGGGGACGAGGGCGGUGCCAGCUACAGAGCAAAGGAAAACUCUUCUCAGUGACUGGAAAGCAGCAGCCUCCGGCCACUUGGGCGUCCUCCCUUCAUGGAGCCUGAUGGCCCCUGAACUUAGGAAGUUCGGGAAAUUCCUGAGGGGUUUGCAGCUUGGUUUGGUUUUUCUCUGGGGUUGGCAAUCUGAGCCAAUAUUGUGUCUGUUCCAAUUGGGUAUAAAGAGGAAGUUUGGAU